AGACUCUCAUUUAAAAAUGUUUUGAAACUUUCAUGAAAUUUAAACCUUUUUUAUAUCUCAGGAACAGAAGGUCGUGGGCAUUUGGGACCAAGACCAGACCAGCGUGUUCGGGGUAUAUGAACCACCCCCCGCCCCCCACCUAGGAGUUGGUUUCAAGUUACUAUCACUUACUGUUCAGGAGUUAUGAAUUUUAACAUAUUUUUUUGAAGGGAUACAGAAUUUUUAACGGAGACACUUUCUCAUAUUUCCCAUACCGUAACUGGUACAGCCACCAGAUUUGAUGUGCAUGAUUUUCUCUUCCCACUGUCCAUGUGUACCAAGUUUGGCGCCCCUAGUGUCUUCCUUUGAUAUAGCUGCUAUAGACUCCCAUUCAAAAACGUUUCGAAACUUUCACGAAAUUUAAACACUUUUUAUAUCUCGGGAACGGAAGGUCGUAGGCGUCAGGGACCAAGACCAGUGUGUUUGGGGCAUAAGUGGAGCGACCGUGGCGGCAGAGGGGGUGGCUGCCCCAGGGCCCAUGCUGAGGAUGUAGCGCGCCACCCCGCAGGUGCAGCAGGAAUAGGAGAACUUAACUCUCUUAGCUUCUAUUCAUUCUCUACGGUAGUUCUUAUCACUAUGGAUGAAAUCCCCCCUCCAACCACAAUGUGGGUUGCAAUGGCAGAGUGGUGCUGUCCGUAUUUCUGCUCAUUGACUGCAGGAAGUGAAGACUACAGAAGCAGCAAUUCAAAGUUCAUGACUAACUUCGCUGAAAACUUAAUCCAAAAAAUGAGAUAUUUGUGUUUUUUUAAGUUUAUGGUGAAUGAAACUUGCCAGACAAAGUUUCAGCCAUCUGAGGCUCAUUAAGAGCUAUUUGCGUUCGUGCAUGAAUGAGACCAAACUAUCCAACCUCACUUUGCUGUGUCUUGAGCGGGACAUAAACACUGGCUGGAGAAAUACACAAAGGGACUAACGUUACACUAAACUACAGCAGUCUAAGCAGGGACAACAACUGGUGAGUGAAACAUCCAUAAUUAGUCUUUAUUAACUUAAAUUUUGGUUUUGAAGAAAUCAGUCAGAAUGUUAGAUUUAUCUGUUUAACUCCAUGCUUACCGCAUCUCAGCACCUGUUUCUGUCACUGCCUGUGGUGUUGUAGGCUGUCUAUUUUGUAUUUGAAUAGGCCUUGUAUUGUUGUAGACCGCUGUGUCUAUUUUAUGUUUAUGUUAUUCCCGUGUUAGAAAGACAUGGUAAGGAGACAGAGCACCUGGCUUGUCGCUAUCUAUUGGCGGUGGUGCUGAACUAUUCGUCAAUUGGUGUAUGUAGAGCACCACAUGCUGAAACAUUUGAACGCGGCUGGCAACCUGUUUUCCUUUUUGCUCUUCAGAACAAGCUUGUCUCAAAAUGGCUUCACUGUAUGUUUCUUUGGACAUAUAGGCUUGCAUGGCUCAAUAACAAUUUGUGAUUAUGGAUAGGAUAUAUCAGCUAUUUUACAGUUGUGAAUUUUAAAAUGGCUGUUUUAGAGUGGCCCCUUGAGAAUGCUUCGCCCCCUCUGUGCUGAGAGUCUAGCUCUGCCCCUGGUCAGCACUAUCUUCCUAAACUGUCAAAAGCAACAAAAUAAGCAAGAAAUAGAAAGAAAAUCCCCAAUUCCUAAUGCCCACUUACAAAGGUGUCAUGCACAUUCAACAUAUUUGAGGAUGCAUGGUUUAAGAAAUUGUUAAAUUCUUUUUUUACAAUAAAUGUUUUUAAUUAGCCUAAAUAAUAUGUUACAAAAGUCGUUUUUCUGUAUGUUUUUAUUCAUAUUUAACUCUGUCUGCUACACACAGACACUUCUCUCUGUUUAGGCUAAGUGGAGCUUGUAGAGCCACUCAGCUGCAGCUGUGCAAGUCGUGUUCUUGAUACAUAUUGCGGUUGUGUUAACCGCAGCGUGAGCGUAUGAAUAACCACUCUCAUCUCACACCAUCAAACAGUGUGACUUGGAUGACUUUUUUCAUUUCUUAGAGGUUCAGAUUUACCUUUUUAAAGUGAAUAUAGCAUCACAGGUUUCAACUAUAACCCACAAGUAAUUAACAUUAGUGUUAACGUGUUGUCCUUUGCUAUUAUCAGUAGCUAAAUUAUUGUUUUUGUCAAAACAAAUUUGCUAACAUUUAAGUUAAGUGUUUUAAGUGAGUUAAAGUACGGGAAAAAGAAAUCUUAAACAAGCCUACACAUCCCGGAGUUUAGCUUUGCAAAGCAAAUGUUUAUUUCAGGGCUAUUGUAAUAUCUUGUGUUCAUGUUGUGGCCUUUAUGGAAAAAUAAUGAUUUAUUUACUUUUGAUUUUAUGAUGGAUCCUAUGAAAAUGUCUGUUUACUGUAAAAGAGGCCAACAGUGCAGUGAAGUCUUGAUUUAACUGGAGGAAAUAUGAAGGGAAAUCUUUGGUCACAGACUCUACCUGAAAUUACUGCUCUUCUGUACACACUACCAUUCAGCAGCAGACGUACUUUUGUUUCAGUGAUUUUGUUAUUUUGAUGAAAGUGUCUGGGAGUUUUCAGUUUUGUAAGAAGUUUUUUUCUCUGACUGAACUUUUUCUGUAGUUUAAUUUUCAACACGCUGCAGCUCCGUUACAGGCCGUAGAUGAUCAUGGAGGUCUCUACCCAGUGAUGAGGAGAGAUUCACAAACUCUUGAAACUUGGUUAUUAAACAGUCAGAUGAAAGUUGUUACACAGCUGCAUUUUUUACAUCUUUACAGACCAACAACAUCAACAGAUCCCAACACAGCCGAAGCUCUCUGAGAAGACGAGUAAAAGCUGAGAGAGAGAGAUCUCCCCUCCAGCAGGAGCCACAGCUUCACAUCACUGAUAUUGUUUUGUUGUGCAUUUUAUUUUACUGCUUCAUUUAGCCGCUGUUGCUGCUCGUACUGUUUAAAACACACACUUGAUCAGACUGUUACAUUUAUCAUAACAAUUAUCAUCGUCAUCAUCAUCACACACUCAGCCUAAAUUACUGUCUUACUGUUAUGUUCAGUUCAAAAAGCUUACAACCGCUGUGUAUUUUUUAUUUUUUUUUUAUUUUUUCAAAGUCAAAGGAAAAGAAAAGUAAAAGAAAGAAAAUAAAAAGAAAAUAAAACAACAAAACAAAAACAGAAACAGAAAAAGUGACCUGAAGCAGAACGGACUGGAUGAAAAGAUGAUCUUUAGUACUUUUUCAAUUCAAUUCUGGGCCAAAUCAUAACAAAAGAGCAGGUCUAGACUGUACUCUUUAAUUUACAGAAAC